rnacentral:ncRNA from 2 species
UAUAAAAUUAAUAUGAAAACUUGUAUAAUCCUUCAUAUCGGGAAGGAGUCUCUACCUAACACCAAUGUUAGAUUAUGAGUUUUAUGGUUUUCGCU